UCAACUUUGUUAAUUAAAUGAACAAUUUAUUUACUCAUUUCAAUUAAUAUAGUCUAAUGUUAAUGAUGUUUUUAUUUAAGGUUUCUGUAUGACAAAGUGAUGCGCCCGCGUGGAUUGGAAGAAAGAUUCGCUUUCUUAGCUCCCAACACUAUUAACGCAGGGUUAAUCAAAACAAAACCAAAUGAUGUCAUAGCGUAUGUACUCGAUUCAUCUGUGGCCAGCAAAGAUACAGAAAAGUUGUUCUUUUUACCAUAUAAUACUGGCAACGGUGGACACUGGUUAUUAGUUGCGAUUAAUCCUGUAAGAGAAAUGGAUUCGCUAGACAAUGAUUGGACAACAUACCCAAAUUUAAAGAGAAUGAUUGAUACCGUUCUACAAGUUUUUCGAUCACAAAGAGAUAUUCAAGUACCAAAGAGUAGAGCCAACAACAUUGCAUGGUUAAGAGUGUAGGUAUAUCUGUAUUUUCUUUCCUUAUGUAGUGUCCUAGUCAGCGUUACGGUAUAAAUUGUGGUUAUUUCAUCUUGAGGUUUAUGAAAGAAACUCUUCUUUUGGAUCGAAUAGAGAUUUCAUCCACGUACUUUGACGAAUUCAAGUGUGCUCAUUACUCAAAAGCUCAAUUGGAUGAACUUAUGGAGGAAUAGUGUAAUUCAUUAUGGAGUUGAGAAUUUUAUAAGGUUAUAGGUGCAGAUGUAGAAGAUAGAGCUAACAACUUUAUUGUUGUUGUUUUUUAGAAACUCUCGAAGAUAGUAAUAUGUAGAUUUAACAUCAAUUUAGCAUUUUAGAUUUUUCAAGCUAUUGUCGUAUAUAUCAUCAAUUAUUAUCAUUAAAAUCAAUUUAAUGAUAAUAUCUACACAUAUGAAUGCACAUUAUUCUACACAUACAUUUAAUUAAUAUAACACUCAACA